CCCUUAGAUGAUUUGGGCUGCACGCGCGCUACACUGACCCUAACAAUGAGCAACUGUCUGGCCUGAGAUGGCUGGGUAGCCUUUUCAACCCAUGUCAUGAUUGGGCUAGAUUUUUGUAAGUCUUGAUCUCUAACGAGGAAUCCCUAGUAUGCGUGAAUCAUCAAUCCAUGCAGAUUAUGUCCCUGCCCUUUGUACACCCCGCCCGUCGCUCCUACUGAUUGGGUGAUCCGGUGAGCUGUUCGGCCAUAGCAAUGUUUCUUGAGCAGGGCAAUGAAUGUUUCGCAAACCUUGCCACUUAGAGGAAGGAGAAGUCGUAACA
rnacentral:rRNA from 1 species